GAGUAAAGAUUUCGGUCGCUUUGGGAGGAGCUCGCUUACUAUCAGCUUGUUGGUAGGGUAAUGGCCUACCAAGGCUAUGACGGUUAGGGGGUGUGAGAGCAUGACCCCCAGCAUUGGCACUGAAACACUGGCCAAACACCUACGGGUGGCUGCAGUCGAGAAUCUUCCACAAUGGGGGAAACCCUGAUGGAGCGAUGCUGCGUGCGGGAUGAAGGCCUUCGGGUUGUAAACCGCUUUUGUAGGGGACGAAAUUUUUGACGGUACCCUUUCGAAUAAGAGGUUGCUAACUCUGUGCCAGCAGCAGCGGUAAUACAGAGACCUCAAGCGUUAUCCGGAUUUACUGGGCGUAAAGCGUCUGUAGGGGGUUUAUUAGGUUCCAAGUAAAAUUUCAAGGCUCAACUUUGAAUUCGCUUGGAAAACUAAUAAACUGGAGUCUAGCAGAGGUGCAUGGAACUUGUGGUGUAGGAGUGAAAUCCGUUGAUAUCACAGGGAACACCAAAGGCGAAGGCAUUGCACUGGGCUAGCACUGACCCUGAGAGACGAAAGCGUGGGGAGCAAAACGGAUUAGAUACCCGUGUAGUCCACGCCCUAAACGAUGAAUGCUAAAUGUUCGGGGAUUCGACCCCCUGGGUGUUACAGCUAACGCGUUAAGCAUUCCGCCUGGGAAGUAUGGCCGCAAGGCUAAAACUCAAAGGAAUAGACGGGGAUCCGCACAAGCGGUGGAGCGUCUGGUUUAAUUCGACAGUAAGCGUGGUACCUCACCAGGGUUUGACAUCCCUUGACAGCCUUGGAAACAAGGUUUCCUUCGGGCAAGGUGACAGGUGCUGUAUGGUCGUCGUCAGUUCGUGCCGUGAGGUGUUCCGUUAAGUCGGGAAACGAACGAAACCCCUAUUGCAUGUUACAAUUUCUCAUGCAAGACUGCCCGGAUAUACUGGGAGGAAGGUGGGGAUGACGUCAGAUCUGCAUGGUCCUUAUACCCUGGGCGACACAGGCGCUACAAUGGCAGAGACAAAGGGUUGCAAAACCGCAAGGUGAAGCUAAUCCCAAAAACUUUGUCUAAGUUCGGAUUGAAGGCUGCAAUUCGCCUUCAUGAAGCUGGAAUCGCUAGUAAUCGUGAAUCAGCCACGUCACGGUGAAUAUGUUCCCGGAUCUUGUACUCACCGCCCGUCACACCAAGAGAGUUGGUAGCUCCCGA
rnacentral:rRNA from 1 species